rnacentral:rRNA from 1 species
UACGUAGGUGGCGAGCGUUGUCCGGAUUUACUGGGCGUAAAGAGCGCGCAGGCGGUCGUACAAGUCGCGUGUGAAAGCCCCCGGCUCAACUGGGGAGGGUCACGCGAUACUGUUCGACUCGAAGGCAGGAGAGGGGAGUGGAAUUCCCGGUGUAGUGGUGAAAUGCGUAGAUAUCGGGAGGAACACCAGUGGCGAAGGCGACUUCCUGGCCUGUUCUUGACGCUGAGGCGCGAAAGCUAGGGUAGCAAACGGG